UCAAAAACAUCGCCUCUUGAUUUCUGAUAAGAGGUCCAGCCUGCCCAGUGACCAUGUUCAACGGCCGCGGUAUCCUAACCGUGCGAAGGUAGCGUAAUCACUUGUUCUUUAAAUGUGGACUAGUAUGAACGGCUUCACGAAGGUUAUACUGUCUCCUUUUUCUAAUCAGUGAAACUAAUUUCCCCGUGAAGAAGCGGGGAUAAAGCUAUAAGACGAGAAGACCCUAUGGAGCUUAAAACGACACAGCACUUACCAAANAAUUUUUAAUGUUUCUGUANACACUNAAUUCUUUAAAGUAAAAUGACUGCAAGUUUUCGGUUGGGGUGACCACGGAGUAUAUCAUAACCUCCAUGUUGAAAGAAUUUCUUUCUAAGCCAAGAAUAACCAAUCUAAGCAUUAAUAAAUUAACAUCUAUUGACCCAAUAAAUUUGAUCAACGAACCAAGUUACCCUAGGGAUAACAGCGCAAUCCACUUCAAGAGCUCCUAUCGACAAGUGGGUUUACGACCUCGAUGUUGGAUCAGGGUAUCCCAGUGGUGCAGCCGCUACUAAAGGUUCGUUUGUUCAACGAUUAAAACCCUACGUGAUCUGAGUU
rnacentral:rRNA from 1 species